rnacentral:rRNA from 1 species
GAUGAACGCUGGCGGCGUGCCUAAUACAUGCAAGUCGAGCGAACAGAUAAGGAGCUUGCUCCUUUGACGUUAGCGGCGGACGGGUGAGUAACACGUGGGUAACCUACCUAUAAGACUGGGAUAACUUCGGGAAACCGGAGCUAAUACCGGAUAACAUUUGGAACCGCAAGGUUCUAAAGUGAAAGAAGGUUUUGCUCUCUCUUAUAGAUGGACCCGCGCCGUAUUUGCUAGUUGGUAAGGUAACGGCUUACCAACGCAACGAUACGUAGCCGACCUGAGAGGGUGAUCGGCCCCCCUGGAUCUGAGACACGCUCCGGACUCCUACGGGAGGCAGCCGUCGGGGAUCUUCCGCAAUGGGCGGAAGCCUGACGGAGCAACGCCGCGUGAGUGAUGAAGGGUUUCGGUUCGUAAAACUCUGUUAUUAGGGAAGAACGAACGUGUAAGUAACUGUGCACGGCUUGACGGUACCUAAUCAGAAAGCCACGGCUAACUACGUG